AGCUGAGGAGCCGAGAGAUACAUCCAGUGGGGCCACGUGGGAGGAGCCUUGAGAGAGAGCGAGCCACUCAAGGGACUGGAGUCAGCGGGGGGCUGAGCCGCCCCCUCCCACAGCAACAGAGAAGACCCGUGGAGUGUUAACGGAGGCUGCGCCUGGGCUCCACCGUGGAAGCGCUGGUUUCUUCUCGUCUCAACUGCAAACUUUCCACCGAGAUGCCUCGCAGAGUGAGAUGCGGACGCCAGAGAACACUGGGCAGCCCUUGACUGCUGCCUGCCGUGGCCUGCGCUAGGCCGCCUUAGG
rnacentral:lncRNA from 1 species